rnacentral:rRNA from 1 species
CACGUAGGGCGCAAGCGUUGUCCGGAUUCAUUGGGCGUAAAGAGCUCGUAGGCGGUUUGGUAAGUCGGGUGUGAAAACUCAGGGCUCAACUCUGAGAUGCCACCCGAUACUGCUAUGACUGGAGUCCGGUAGAGGAGUAUGGAAUUCCUGGUGUAGCGGUGAAAUGCGCAGAUAUCAGGAGGAACACCAAUUGCGAAGGCAGUACUCUGGGCCGGAACUGACGCUGAGGAGCGAAAGCGUGGGUAGCGAACAGG